AUUGAACGCUGGCGGAAUGCUUUACACAUGCAAGUCGAACGGUAGAGGGGGCAACCCCCUUGAGAGUGGCGAACGGGUGAGUAAUAUAUCGGAACGUGCCCAGUCGUGGGGAUAACGUAGCGAAAGUUACGCUAAUACCGCAUACGAUCUAAGGAUGAAAGCGGGGGACUCGCAAGAGCCUCGCGCGAUUGGAGCGGCCGAUAUCAGAUUAGGUAGUUGGUGGGGUAAAGGCUCACCAAGCCAACGAUCUGUAGCUGGUCUGAGAGGACGACCAGCCACACUGGAACUGAGACACGGUCCAGACUCCUACGGGAGGCAGCAGUGGGGAAUUUUGGACAAUGGACGCAAGUCUGAUCCAGCCAUUCCGCGUGCAGGAUGAAGGCCCUCGGGUUGUAAACUGCUUUGUACGGAACGAAACGGUGAGCUCUAAUACAGUUUGCUAAUGACGGUACCGUAAGAAUAAGCACCGGCUAACUAACGUG
rnacentral:rRNA from 1 species